CUCGCAGGAAGGCGGUUGCGCGCGGCCGUCCGCUUGCGCCUCAGCUCGGGAACCGUUUCCCCGCCGGCCCGGCCCGUCAGCGAGGCCGUCAGCGCCACGGCCGCAGAGGGCGGCCCGGACCCACGUCUGCGCGGUGCUGCUGGCCUGGGGAAAGUGCCAGCAGAGGGCGGCUGAGGACUGCAGGUCCGUUGAAAGCCAGCCCCGCUCCCGAACCCCGGCGGCUCCCGGGUAACAACCCCACCCCACCAUCAGGAAUAACCCACCAGAGAGGUUUGCGGGGAAACCAGGUCAACGGCCGGGCGCGCCCGGAUGGGCCGCUGAGGAAACUGAAUUUUUAAAACUCAGAGGCAACAAACAGCUGUUAUCCCUUAUAUUCUUCUGUAACUUCUGUUCUCUGAGGAAAUGAUCUGUCUCUUAAGACAGCUCACGACAGAGAGCAAGACAGAGUCCUCCCCUACAUGGACUCUUGAAAAGCAUCUUGCUGGUGGGAACUCUUCCUCCGCUGUAUGAAGAAGGCCGGGCUAGCUUGCUGAGGAGAUGGGGAUCCACCUAGAGCCAGCACCAAGCAACAGACACGUGAGUCAGUCCCAGCUGAGCUGCCCGCUGACUGCAGGUGCAGAAGUGACCUUAGCUGAGACACAGGCUGCCCAGAUGCGCCUCCUCCAAGGUGGUAAUAUGAGCCAUAAGCAAAUAAAGUGGUUAUCUAACCCAUUUUUAUUGAAUCAAUAUGAAAAUGCAGAAUACAGUAGGAACAAAUGUAAAACAAUAGGUGAGGAAUAGAAGAUAGAGUAGAGUCAGAUGUGAUUAUGGCCAUUUCUAAUCUUUAGGAGCUUCGAAAAUUGUGGACAGGCAUCUGCGUAGACCCAUGGUAGAUGGGGCCUUGGCCUAAUACUGUCCUUGUGCAUUUUUGAAAAUGACUGUUACUGUCAUUCACGUGGAUUCCAGUGGUUGUUCUGUUGUCACUGAUGAAUUGAAAAACAAAGUUAUCUUAGUAAAGCACAUUCUCAGGUACUAGACUCAACGAAAUUCCUGAUUAAAUAGAUUUUCCUAAAGAUUUCCUCAAAACAGUGAGAUAAAUGCCAUAAAACCAAAAAAUGUCAAAAAUGCAAAGAGUUUGGGAGAGGGUUAUAGUUCAGUGGUUCAGUGUGUGCUUACUACACAUGAGGUCCUGGGUUCAGUCCCCAGUACCUCCAUUAAAAUAAAUAAAUGAAUGAAUGGAUGAAUGAAUGAAUGAAUACAUACAUACAUAAAAUAAAAAUAAAUAAACCUAAUUACCUACCCCACCAAAUACAAAGGAUCUCAUGAUACAUGUCCCUAGGUUCUGAAUCUAAACUCUGCCUUAUCAAAUGGACUGCUCCCAAUUAGCUGUGAUUACCUAGGCUCAGACAAUCCUAGCUCAGAGUUCUCAGAGGAACUUCUACUGGCCUUUGUAAUUGGUUUUUUACAUAUUUACUUUACUUCCAUUAUUAAUCUUGACAACAAUCCUAAAACUUAGAUGUUUUUAUUCGCAUUUUAGAGAUGAAGGAACUGAAACUGAGCUAAAAUAAUUGGCCAAAGUUAACACAGCUGUGAAUAGUAGCCCAGGAGUUGACAGUCUGGAAAGGUGGUUUGACAUCAAAUCAAGUCCUUUUCUUUCUCAGUGAUGCUGGUUCUUUUCAACCUGUUUCAAAGGCACUGGAAACCUGUGGUACCUCAGGUACCAUUAAGCAGGAAAAAAGGGGGUGGGGAAUAAACAAGGCAGUGCUCUGGGCCCCUCACUCUAUUUUCAGCCUGAGCACAUCUGAUAUAUAUGAGUCCCAUUUAAAGUUUUGUUUGAAAAAACUUCCAAACACUGUGUUAUACCCUGAUGUCUCGUAAUGCUGUACUAGCAACUUCCUGCAGUCAGACCUGCCUUACCCUUUGGUCUCACGACGGUAUGAAAGCGUCCCUGACCUGGAGCAGGUGAAAAUCAUUGCUCUUGGGAUGUGAUUUGGGCUCCAGAACGGCACUGUCUAAGCGUCUCCCAUGAGCCCUGGCAGCCUUGCUGUCUUUCUCACCAAAGCCACUUACAUGAUUCACACACCCUGCAGCCCCCUCCCUGUUACUAGUGACGUCACCUUCAUCAGGAGUGGCCACGGGCUCUCCCCAGAGGGAAGGGGUGUCUUCUCCCCAGAGCUGGAGGCCGUUUUCCAGGAAAAAUUGCACAAAAGAAGUCUGAAACACGUAAGGGCAAAACGGGGUGU